UUUUUAAAAUAAUUUUUCAGCAAGAUAGUAAAUACCAGUCUGGUUUCUUUUCAGGUUGGACCUUCCGGUUCCUCUCAGAGCAGCUAUUCAGGCAGUCAGGGUGGAGUAGUCUACACAAUAAGCAAGAGUGGAUGUGGCCCUGGAGGUGCUGCUGGUGCAUAUGGCAUACAUGCCUGCAGAGAUAGUGCAUCCAGCAGUGGUAUUAGUUAUGGCCAGUCUGUCCCUUCAAGCAGUUCAGAUUCCAGUAAGAAGG
rnacentral:lncRNA from 1 species